CGUAACCAAAAAUUACAAUUGGGUUUAAUGUUGGUGUUGUAAUAAAACGAACAUCACCACCACCAGGUGCCCAUGUAUCAUAUACACCACCUAAAUACAUUGCUUUGAUAACUAAUAAGAAAGCACCACAACCUAAAAGACAUAAGUGAAUACCUAAGAUUGUUGUCAUCUUAUUUUUAUCACGCCA
rnacentral:antisense_RNA from 14 species